rnacentral:rRNA from 1 species
UACGGGGGGGGCAAGCGUUGUUCGGAAUCACUGGGCUUAAAGGGCGCGUAGGCGGGCCCACCAGUCAGGGGUGAAAUCCCACGGCCCAACCGUGGAAGUGCCUUUGAUACUGUGGGCCUCGAGGGGGAUAGGGGCGUGCGGAACUCAGGGUGGAGCGGUGAAAUGCGUAGAUAUCCUGAGGAACACCGGUGGCGAAAGCGGCGCGCUGGAUCCCUUCUGACGCUGAGGCGCGAAAGCCAGGGGAGCAAACGGG